rnacentral:lncRNA from 1 species
UUGACGAUGCCAGCUAUGAAGACAUUGAGGAGGUAACACUUUACCAAUACGAAUCGAAAUUCGAUAUGCGAUACUGUAUUAAGCCGCUCGCAGUUCGCUGAAAUGGUUGAUUUGUCAACCAUGGACAGGUAGCAGAGGCUCUCAUGAUAAUGCACGAGGAAUGGGUGGCAGGUGACUAUAGCUAUGUCGACAAGUUGAAAGCUGCUCCGAAGCCUAAUGCUACUGAAACUCGUCAACGUAUCGUACAGGUAAACCAAAGAUCCCCGUUUUGCAGUCGUUUGUUGUUACUGAAACUGUAUCAAAGAUUUUCAACUAGUACCAGUGACUCAGGUUGAUAAUCCACAAUUAUACUUGCAGUUCUUGUACAAUGGUAACAUUAUAGCUCACACGAUUAGCCUUGUCGGGUUGAUUCUCAAUACGAGUUUCACAAAUACUACUGUGGUUUGUGGGUUCCCAUAUAAAACUCUUUCAAGGCCUUUCCAUAUUUCUGCAGUUAUGUGCGUUUCAUUUAGCUAUUUAUUUCCUGCCUUGUAGGCUGAUGGUGAUGAAGAUGACUCUUCCAGUUCCA